rnacentral:lncRNA from 1 species
AAAAUAGUUUGAAGUGUAAAGAGAGUUUGAUGACUUUAUCAAAAUCUUCCUAAUCAUAACUGGCAUCUUUUAAAGGGCGGGUUCCUGCUAAGUGGUCUGUAUAGCACCACUGAUGUGCAAAACAAGAAGUAAAAAUGCCAGAGUUCCUCCUCCUCUCAUUUUUCGUGGUAUAUGGACAGAACUGGUGGAAUGUGAGACUCAGGGGAUAAGAAAGAUGUGGCACUCGAUUCUGCUUUUUAAAGAGUAUCCUAAUUAGAUUGAGGGGGAAAAUAACUGAAAACUUUGGAACAGCUCUUGAGUCUGCACUUGCUCUAAGCUGGAAGAAAAUAAUUUUUAGUAUAUGUUUAAAAUUAUGUAACACAUUUCAGAUGUUGGUUCCGAUUACUGUUGAAAUGACAUUCAAAUCUGGGAGUGUUUCUCGCUGGUUUUGUCCUUUUAAAAAUUUCCACUGUGCUUUUUUUCAUCUUUAAUUAAAUUUCAAUUCGUUUUAUAAUAGCAAUUAAAGUAUUUACAGCAAGAAAUUCUAUCCAUUUGCAAAACUGCAAUAAAUUGUAACAUUUUCACA